rnacentral:rRNA from 1 species
UAACGCGUGGGUAACCUGCCUUAUACAGGGGGAUAACAGUCAGAAAUGGCUGCUAAUACCGCAUAAGCGCACAGAGCUGCAUGGCUCAGUGUGGAAAACUCCGGUGGUAUAAGAUGGACCCGCGUUGGAUUAGCUUGUUGGCGGGGUAACGGCCCACCAAGGCGACGAUCCAUAGCCGGCCUGAGAGGGUGAACGGCCACAUUGGGACUGAGACACGGCCCAG